UUAUUUUAAAAUAUUAAAUUUUAUAUAAAUUAAUAAAUUUAAUUAACAAAAAUUAUUUAAUAAAUUUAAGUUUAUUAAUAAAUUUUAAAAAAUUAAUAAUUUAAAAUAAAUUUAAAUUAAAUUAUAAAUUUAUAAAAGAAAAAUAAUAAUUUUUACCUUUUGUAUCAGGGUUUAUUAAAAUAAUUUAUUAAAAAUAAAUUUCUCGAAUUUAAAAAAUUUAAUUUAAUAAAUAUAAUAAAAUAUAAAUUUUGUAUAAAAUAUUAAAUUAGAAACAAAAUAUUAACCAAUUUUAAAUAUAUCUAGUUAUUUAAUAAUCAAAUUUAAUUUAUAAGUAAUAUUAUAAUAAAAUUUAACUUAAAAUAUUUAUUAAAUUUACUUAAAUAAAUUUAAGUAUAAACUUAAAUUUAAUAUUAAAAAUUCAUAUUAUACAUAUUUUAUUAAAUAAUAAUAAAAUUUUAUUUUAUUAAAAAAAAAUUAUUCUAUAUUUAAAUUAAUAAUUUUAUUUAAAAAAAAUUUUAAAUAAUCAUUAAAUUAUAAUAAAAAAUAAUAAUUAAUUAAAAAUAAUGAUAAAAUUAGUAAAUAAAAUAUAAUUAUAAAAAUAAAAUUUAUUAAUUAAAAUUAAAUUUAUAAACUAGGCAAAUUUAUAUUCACCUGUUUAACAAAAACAUGUCUUACUGAUUAAAAUUUUAAGUCAAAUCUGCUCAAUGAAACAAAUUUAAAUAGCUGCAGUAUAAAUAACUGUACAAAGGUAGCAUAAUAAUUAGUUUUUUAAUUAAAAACUAGAAUGAAAGAUUUAAUGAAAUAUAAACUUUAUUAAAUUAAUAAAAAUUUAACUUUUUAUUUAAUUUAAAAAAAUUAAAUAAAAUUAAAAGACGAGAAGACCCUAUAGAAUUUCAUUUUUUUUUUAAUUAAAAUUAAAACAUCUUUUAAUUAUAAAAAAUUUAAUUGGGGGAAUUUUAAAAUAUCAUAAAUUUUUAAAUAAUUAAACAAAAAUUUUUGUAUAAAUUAUAUUUUUUAAAAAAAAUAAAUUAAAUUACCUUAGGGAUAACAGCAUAAUUUUUUUUUAAAGUUCAAAUUUAUAAAAAAGUUUAUGACCUCGAUGUUGAAUUAAGAUAAAAUUUAAAUGUAAAAAUUUAAAAAUUUAAGUCUGUUCGACUUUUAAAAUCUUACAUGAUUUGAGUUAAGAUCGGUGUAAGCCAGAUCGGAUUCUAUCUUUAAUUUAAAUUAAUAUUUUUGUACGAAAGGAAUUAAUAUUAAAAAUAAUUUUUUAUUAAAAAUAUAUAUAUUACAAAAUUAUAA
rnacentral:rRNA from 1 species